GAUCAUCAAAUAUAUAUAGAGAAUAACUGAAGAGAAAAUGGCAAUGGCUCAGGCACAGAAGUUUAUGAUGGCAGCCGUGAUCUUUGUUCUUCUAUUCUCAGUAGCUAUGGGAAAAUGGAAUUGCAUAGCCCAAUGCAGAGAUGUUCCAGACUGUGAUCAAGCAUGCAAACGGGACGGCUAUCAGUAUGGGACAUGCUUACCACCUGUGUUUAACAUCUGCUGCUGUCAAUAAGACACUAAGAAUCUUGACACUCAGAGCUUUCCUUCUAGAAUUGGAAGAAAACAUAAUCUAAAUAAUUAAGCUUUGUUUGAAGGAAAUAAAAAAAAAAAUUAUAUUUCAAGUAGUUGAAUUUUAUUCUUUAAUUUGUCAUAUUGUAGUUCUUAUAUUCUCAAUUUCA